GCACUAAUGGGGUAGUGGUAACCUGGGUCGUUGCCACACAGUGCAAGAUCGACCCGCCGGGGGUUCAAUUCCCCCUUAGUGCA